AUUGAACGCUGGCGGAAUGCCUAACACAUGCAAGUCGAGCGAGGUGUAGCAAUACAUCUAGCGGCGGACGGGUGAGGAACGCAUAGGAAUCUACCUUUUAGUGGGGGAUAACCCGGGGAAACUCGGAUUAAUACCGCAUACGAUCUACGGAUGAAAGUGGGGGACCGCAAGGCCUCACGCUGUUAGAUGAGCCUAUGUCCGAUUAGCUAGUUGGUAGGGUAAUGGCCUACCAAGGCGACGAUCGGUAGCUGGUUUGAGAGAACGAUCAGCCACACUGGAACUGAGACACGGCCCAGACUCCUACGGGAGGCAGCAGUGGGGAAUUUUGCGCAAUGGGCGAAAGCCUGACGCAGCGACGCCGCGUGGAGGAUGAAGGCCCUUGGGUCGUAAACUCCUGUCGGGUGGGAAGAAAGGUCUCGAGUGAAUAACUCGGGAAUCUGACUGUACCACCGGA
rnacentral:rRNA from 1 species